AACGAGAUACAAAGUCAGAGUUUCUUUCAAGACAGGAUGGCCAAACAGCAAGAACGUCUGUAGUCAUUACAAUGUAGAUUUGGGAGAGUUAAGAGUCAAAGAUAACCUUGUGGAUUUCUACACUAUGACACCAGCAAGCUGACAAACAUGUCUGCUAGAGUAGGUUUUGAGUUAAGAACCACAAAAGGCGUUAGAAAUACAGUGCUGCUCAUUCAGAUCCAUAUUUUCUCAGCUUUUCUGUUUGAAUUAGCAAACGUGCAGCCAUAAACUGUCCUCAUGCAAAGUUUACCGCUGACCCUUUGAAUGACUCGGGGUCUCUGCAUUAAUGAUUACACCACACCAACAUCUGCACAAGUGCACAUCCUAAUGUACAUGAAGCUAAAAAGAAAAGAUGAGGCUAAAGGUCAGUUGUGGAGUUGCAGUCACUGGGGCUUAAUAAAUAAUCAAUAAAACUGAUUAUACAAUCGAUGUCAAUGAAUUUCAUUAUUGAUUAGUUGGGCUGCUGAUGCCACAGACAAUAGGUCAGAAGACUACAAACAAAUUGCUUUGAAGCACAGUGGUAACAGCUAAAAUUUGAACCCAGUCAGCUUGAAUUUAUCAGAAUGGGGCUUUCCUUAGUGGAAACUUUUUUUCUGGUAGCGUAGCAAAAAAAAAAAAAAAAAAAACUGACAAUCCAACAGAGAAUCAGAAAGCUAGGUCAGCAUGUAGCUGUAGACUAACUGUGAAUACUAAAAAACAUUCCACUUCUAGCUGAUGUUACAGCAAAAAUGAUACAAGCUGAGCAACUCCCUUCACCAGUCACAGCUGACAACACAUUCUGUAUUUGUCACCUUGCUUUUUCCUGCACUAAUGGAGACAUUAGCCAACUUGUUUUCUGUUUACAAAUGGUUGCCAAGUGUUGGUGUCAUAGUAUCGUGAGAAUCACUCAUCUCCUGAGACAUGAAACUGUAUUAAAACAAACAAGUAGUACACCUUAUCUACAAACAAGAGCACAAAACGUUUGCCUGGAGGAUGAUUGGAAUAAAUUAAAAUACACACUCUAAAAACAUAAUAACGUGAAGGAUUACAAUUUUAACAGCUUGUGUGCAAAUAAUGAGAAAUACUCAAUGGAGUUCAAUUAUAUUUUAAAUAUUAAUUUACGUAUAAUUUAGUUGUAUUUCUUUAAUAACAGUUAGAGGGAUUAAUUUGUUUUUUUGGAAGACAGUAUUUACAGCAGGCAGCACAGUGGAAUAGUGGUUAGCACUGCUGCCUCAGCAAGAAUGGGAUUGAUUCCCACCUGUGGCCUUUCUGUGUGGAGUCUGCAUGUUCUCCCCGUGUUUGUGUGAGUUCCCUCUGGGUGCUCGGGCUUCCUCCCACAUCUGAAGACAUGCAGGUAAGGUGGAUUGGAAACUUUAAAUUGUCUGUGGGUGAAUGCGCGGGUGUGAAUAUCUUUGUUUGUGUGUAUGUGG